rnacentral:sRNA from 1 species
UGCAUUUGAAGCCCAUGAGGAUGAGAACCUCCGGGGGCGGGGAGGUUCGACUCGAGCGAAGCGAGGAGAACGUUGCGCCAGCAACGGCCCGCAGGGCGAGCCACGAAGUGGCGAGUAAUCCUCUAUCACCGACCA